rnacentral:rRNA from 1 species
AGAAGAGGCAAGGGGAAUUCCCAGUGUAGCGGUGAAAUGCGUAAAUAUUGGGAGGAACACCGGUGGCGUAAGCGCCUUGCUGGGCUGUUACUGACGCUGAGGAACGAAAGCCGGGGGAGCGAAUGGGAUUAGAUACCCCAGUAGUCCCGGCCGUAAACGAUGGAUACUAGGUGUUGCGGGUAUCGACCCCUGCAGUGCCGCAGCUAACGCGAUAGGUAUCCCGCCUGGGGAGUACGCACGCAAGUGUGAAACUC